ACUACCUUAUUUUCUCAAUAACAUUCUCUCUCCUUCACUUCAUCCCUCUCUCCCCUUCUCCCUAAAUCCUCUAGGUUAUAUCAGCUGUGUCGGUGAACCACUCCUCCAUCUGAACUGGCUACAUAGAGGACACAGCAUGAUCAGAGAUAUGUUUUGUUGUGAGAGGAUGCCAACCCCCAGUCCCAUCAUCGCCACCUCUCCAUCUUUUAAGAUAACCUUUGGGCCGACUAGAGACACUAUUAUGUAAUUGUGAUGUACUGAGAGAAUAUUUAGCUGCCUUCCCUGCUCCUAUGUGUUUACCUCUUUCCCUUUCUGUCUUUUACACCUCCUCCUCUUUCUUCCUCUGUUUUUAUAAUUCACAACAGAUGUGCAUUGAAGUACAGAUUGAACUUGUAUUGAUAACACUUGGAUAAUGAGCUUUUCCAUAAACGUUUCACAUUCUCUACUGGUUGAAAUGAAGUGUAAUGUGAUGAAAUA